rnacentral:rRNA from 1 species
AUGUGCAUGCCAUUGUCAUGGUUAUUACAUGCAUUUAAACCCAAAUUUGGGUCGACCCGUCUAUUCCGAUGGGUCGGUGGUGUCCGGCUGCCCUGGCUCACUCAAAAAAUAGAAGUGGCGGCCAACGGGUGUCUCCAGCAUGGCUGGUUUCCAGAUGAAGUGCAGACUGAUGCCAUGAUAAUUAUAGUUCUAAAUUUGGGUAUCUUCUGCUUACCCAAGCAUGCUUUCAUUCCUAUACACAAGCAACCCGGGAUAACCGUCUUUAGUAGGAUGCUCUUCGGCUCCAUGCACCUUAUGUCGUAUGACUACGCUAGAAGUAACUCAGAGGUUGGCACUAAUGUGCUCACCACCUCAGAUGGUAGACUACUCACUUCAGCGGCUCGUCUAGCAAAGAUAAACAUAAACACUAUUGUUGAUUCUUCAGCCGAUACCAUAGUUCUGCACCAUGAACACCGAGGUGUGGUGGACGCACGGUACUCCAGGCUGAAGGAGAUUACCCAACAACUUUCAGAUGAAGGGUGUAACGUUGUAACAUGCGAAAGGCAGGCAAUAAUUAUAGGUCUAAAUUUGGGUAUCUUCUACUUACCCAAGCAUGCUUUCAUUCCUCUACACAACCUACCCGGGAUAAUCAUCUUCAGCAGGAUGCUCUUCGGCUCCAAGCACCUUAUGUCGUAUGACUGGGCUAGAACCGAUAACAUAGUUCUGCACCAUGAAAACCAAGGCAACCUCCACUGCUUCAUGGCUCUUACCCCAUGCGCUAUUUUCAAUGUGAUGGUGUGGUGGAUGCACGGUACUCCAGGCUCAAGGAGAUUACCCAACAACUUUCAGAUGAAGGGUGUAACGAUGUCAUAUGUAAACACGAGACUAAAUAUGCUCACAAAUGAGCAUGCCAUGAUAAGUAUAGUUCUGAGUUUGGGUAUCUUCUGCUUACCCAAGCAUGGUUUCAUUCCUCUACACAAGCAACAAGGGAUAACCGUCUUCAGAAGGAUGCUGUUCGGCUCCAUGCACCUUAUGUCGUAUGACUGGGCUAGAAGUAACUAG